rnacentral:rRNA from 1 species
GUCUAUGGCCAUGCUACCCUGAACAAACCCAAUCCUGUCUGAUCUCAGAAGCUAAGCAGGGUCAGACCUGGUUAGUACUUGGAUGGGAGAACACCCAGGAAGACCAGGUGCUGUAAGUG